UCGAGGGGCAUCGGGAUUGAAGCUUGCUUCAAUUGCCGGCGACCGGCGCACGGGUGCGUAACGCGUAUGUAACCUACCUAUAACAGGGGCAUAACACUGAGAAAUUGGUACUAAUUCCCCAUAAUAUUCGGAGAGGCAUCUCUCCGGGUUGAAAACUCCGGUGGUUAUAGAUGGACAUGCGUUGUAUUAGCUAGUUGGUGAGGUAACGGCUCACCAAGGCAACGAUACAUAGGGGGACUGAGAGGUUAACCCCCCACACUGGUACUGAGACACGGACCAGACUCCUACGGGAGGCAGCAGUGAGGAAUAUUGGUCAAUGGACGCAAGUCUGAACCAGCCAUGCCGCGUGCAGGAAGACGGCUCUAUGAGUUGUAAACUGCUUUUGUACGAGGGUAAACUCACCUACGUGUAGGUGACUGAAAGUAUCGUACGAAUAAGGAUCGGCUAACUCCGUGCCAGCAGCCGCGGUAAUACGGAGGAUUCAAGCGUUAUCCGGAUUUAUUGGGUUUAAAGGGUGCGUAGGCGGUUUGAUAAGUUAGAGGUGAAAUCCCGGGGCUUAACUCCGGAACUGCCUCUAAUACUGUUAGACUAGAGAGUAGUUGCGGUAGGCGGAAUGUAUGGUGUAGCGGUGAAAUGCUUAGAGAUCAUACA
rnacentral:rRNA from 1 species